GAGGGUAUAGCUCAGUGAUAGAGUGCAUGCCUAGCAUGCAUGAGGUCCUGGGUACAAUCCCCAGUAGCUCCA
rnacentral:tRNA from 1 species